CCUACGGAGAGCUGCAGUGGGGAAUAUUGGACAAUGGGCGAAAGCCUGAUCCAGCCAUGCCGCGUGUGUGAAGAAGGCCUUCGGGUUGUAAAGCACUUUCAGUGGGGAAGAAAGCCUUGGGGCUAAUACCCUCGAGGAAGGACAUCACCCACAGAAGAAGCACCGGCUAACUCCGUGCCAGCAGCCGCGGUAAUACGGAGGGUGCGAGCGUUAAUCGGAAUUACUGGGCGUAAAGCGCGCGUAGGCGGUCUGAUAAGCCGGUUGUGAAAGCCCCGGGCUCAACCUGGGAACGGCAUCCGGAACCGUCAGGCUAGAGUGCAGGAGAGGAAGGUAGAAUUCCCGGUGUAGCGGUGAAAUGCGUAGAGAUCGGGAGGAAUACCAGUGGCGAAGGCGGCCUUCUGGACUGACACUGACGCUGAGGUGCGAAAGCGUGGGUAGCAAACAGGAUUAGAUACCCGGGUAGUC
rnacentral:rRNA from 1 species